GUAUCACUUCCAAAUAAACUCAAAAGUUGCUAUGUUUUACUAUGUCCCAACUGCAAACAAGAAGUGAGAAGUUCAAUAAAAAGAAAGUUUCUGUGUAUGACUUGUAAGCAACAAAAUAUGUUAAUUCCCAGGUGCAGAUUUGAUGUAAAUCUCCAAGAUGCCUCCGGAUCAAUAAUUGGGAUAAUUAUGGACAAAGAAGCAGAAAAAUUAUUAUCCCUUACCACAGAUGAGAUUUACGACCUUGCUUCAAAUGAGAAUAUUCAAAGCAAGCUAAAUCAGAACUUUUAUAUAAUUCAAGUGAAAAAAUCAUUCUCCCGCACUUCUCAAGCAACAUCUGGAAAAUUGUACAUUUUGUCUUGCACUGAAAAAGGAAACAUGGUGCAUUCUCUCCCUGAAUCACCAAAAACUGACAUUGAAGAAGGCAGCAAAAGGAAAAAGAAACAUUUAAUUUCCUUUGAUGAAGAAACAGAAGUACCAACCGAGCGACGUCACUCGCUCAAGCUGAAACAAAAACUGGAGCCAACAACUCCAGUAAAAAAGAAAUAAAGGAUAACCUUUUUUUGCAAUCACUUUUGCGUUUUGCGGAACAAAGUUCUUUUGUAGGGAAAUCAAUUCUCUUUUGAAGCUUGCUUUUGACUUUUUGUCUUGCAUCAAACAAAGGUAAUAAAAAUUACAUUUAUUCAACUAAUCUUAAUUUAUUUUGCCCAA